GUCUUUCAUGUUCAAUUUAGAGGUGACUCCACCUAUUCUGUCAGAACUGUGAAUGGUUUUUGCUGCCAAAAAUUCCUGUUCACACGACCGUGAUGCGCUGCUUGUCUGUGGAUAACCUUUCUUAGGCAACUAAAGCUUUUAAGGUAAUGAAAGCCCAUCAGCCACACUGCCAAAGAAGAGAAGAAUAAAGAAUGGUUGUCCUUCGUAAUUUUAAGAGCUCAACUACGUCAUGUACAGAGAGAGACACUUGAACUGGCUUAGUUUUCGACUAAGACAGAAUUGCAAGCUGUGAUCAUGCAGACCACCUAGGUAAUUAUAAUUUUCUUUGCAUUGAAGAUUAUUCCGAAGACAAUUUUUGUUAUUUUAGGUGCAGUCUUGCAAAUGCUAAUUUGAUCAGAUAAGAGUUAAAGCUGAAAUGAUUA